rnacentral:rRNA from 1 species
UUCAAACGGGGACAUGUGCACGCUCUGUUUACACAUCCACUCACACCUGUGCACCCUCCGUAGUUCUAUGGUCUGGGGGACCCUGUCUUCCUGCCGUGGUUCUAUGUCUUUACACACACUCUGUAAUAAAGUCUUAUGGAAUGUAUGCCGCGUCUAACGCAAUACAAUACAACUUUCAGCAACGGAUCUCUUGGCUCUCGCAUCGAUGAAGAACGCAGCGAAAUGCGAUAAGUAAUGUGAAUUGCAGAAUUCAGUGAAUCAUCGAAUCUUUGAACGCACCUUGCGCCCCUUGGCUAUUCCGAGGGGCAUGCCUGUUUGAGUAUCAUGAACACCUCAACUCUCAUGGUUCGCCAUGAUGAGCUUGGACUCUGGGGGUUUUGCUGGCCUGCGGUCGGCUCCCCUCAAAUGAAUCAGCCUCCCAGUGUUUGGUGGCAUCACGGGUGUGAUAAAUAUCUACGCUCGCGGUUGUCUGCCAGGUAACCUUUGGUGACAAAGGUUUGCUGGAGCUCACAGAUGUCUCUCCUCGGCGAGGACAGCUUUUUUGAACGUUCGAUCUCAAAUCAGGUAGGACUACCCGCUGAACUUAAGCAUAUCAAUAAGCGGAGGAAAAGAAACUAACAAGGAUUCCCCUAGUAACUGCGAGUGAAGCGGGAAGAGCUCAAAUUUAAAAUCUG